GAUGAACGCUGGCGGCGUGCCUAAUACAUGCAAGUCGAACGAGUUCUGAUUAUUGAAAGGUGCUUGCAUCUUGAUUUAAUUUUGAACGAGUGGCGGACGGGUGAGUAACACGUGGGUAACCUGCCCUUAAGUGGGGGAUAACAUUUGGAAACAGAUGCUAAUACCGCAUAAAUCCAAAAACCGCAUGGUUCUUGGCUGAAAGAUGGCGUAAGCUAUCGCUUUUGGAUGGACCCGCGGCGUAUUAGCUAGUUGGUGAGGUAACGGCUCACCAAGGCAAUGAUACGUAGCCGAACUGAGAGGUUGAUCGGCCACAUUGGGACUGAGACACGGCCCAAACUCCUACGGGAGGCAGCAGUAGGGAAUCUUCCACAAUGGACGCAAGUCUGAUGGAGCAACGCCGCGUGAGUGAAGAAGGCUUUCGGGUCGUAAAACUCUGUUGUUGGAGAAGAAUGGUCGGCAGAGUAACUGUGUCGGC
rnacentral:rRNA from 2 species